GCUGGUUUAACAUUAAAAAAAUUAAUCAACGUUGUAUAGCCAUGUUCGUAGCAGCACUAGAAGCAAACCAAGAGUCCAUUCAUAGAUGAUUGUAAAAGCAAAAUGCAGAAUAUAAAUAUAAUAGGAUACUGUUCAGCCUUAAAAAGAAAGGAAAUUCUGUCUAGCCAGAGAGAUUAGGCAAGAAAUGGAAAUAAAAGGGAUAACAAUUAAAAAGGAAGAAGUCAAAUUAUCACUAUAUGCAGAUGAUAUGACCCGGUAUCUAGAAGAUCCAAAAAUUUCAUCAAAAGACUGUUAGAGCUAAUAAACAAAUAUGGUGAAGCAGCAGGUUACAAAAUCAACAUUCAAAAAUCAAUAGCUUUCCUAUAUACCAAUAACGAAUCUGCUGAAAAAGAAAUCAGGAAAAUAAUUCCAUUCACAAUAAUCUCAAAGAAAAAAAUCUAGGAAUAAAUCUAACCAAGGAGGUGAAAGACCUCUAUAGUAAAACCUAUAGAAUAAUGAAGAAAGAAAUUGAAGAUCUCAAAAGAUGGAAAGAACUCUAUGUUCAUGGAUAAGCAAAAUCAAUAUUGUUAAAAUGGUCAUACUAUAAAAACAAAUGUACAAAUUCAAUGCAAUCACCAUCAAAAUACCAAUGAAAUACUUCACAUUCAUAGAUAAAUAAUCCUAAAAUCCAGAAUAAAAGACCCAGAAUAGCCAAAGCAAUUUUAAGCCAAAAGAGCAAAGCUGGAGACAGCAUACUACCUGAUUUCAAAUACAGAGCUAUAGUAACAAAAACUGCAUGUAUGGGCAUAAAAACUGACACAUAGACCAAUGAUACAGAAUAGAAGACACAGAGACAAAUCCACACAGAUAGAGUUAUCGAGUCAUUGACAAAGAUGCCAAAAACAUACAUUAGAGAAAAGAUAGCCUUUUAUACAAAUGGUGCCAGACAACUGGUUUUCCAUAUGUGGAAGAAUGAAACUAGAUUUUCAUCUCUCACCUUGCACAAAA
rnacentral:lncRNA from 1 species